UUAUAGCGAUGCGGCUGACGUUCUGGGUGUCUGUCGUACUCUCUGUGCUAUACAGCCAUGGGACGGACGCCUGUCCUGACAAGUGUAGAUGUAGCAAGUCGUCUUUCUGUAAUGGGACUAAUGUAAAUUGUUAUGAUAGAGGACUGAGCGGAGUACCGACCAACAUCCCCACGGACAUUUGUGAUCUAUACCUGAGCGGCAAUAAGAUAGCAACGUUACAAACUGGAAACUUUGAUAAGUUGACAAAUCUGCAUACACUAAGUCUGUGGGGGAAUGAUAUAGCCAUCUUACCGAAUGGGAUUUUUGAUGUAUUGACGAAUUUACAAUUCCUACACUUGUGGAAAAAUAAAAUAGCAACUUUACUAAAUGGAAUCUUUGAUGCAUUGACAAAGUUAAAGAAACUAGGCUUGCAGGAAAAUGAAUUAGCAACGUUACCAAAUGGAAUCUUUGAUGCAUUGACGAAGCUAGAGACACUUAACUUGGGGAGAAAUAAAAUAUCAACGUUGAAAAACGGAAUUUUUGAUGCAUUGACGAAGCUAGAGAUACUAAUCGUGAGUGGGAAUGAGAUAGCCAUCUUACCGACUGGAUUGUUUGAUGUAUUGACGAAUUUACAAUUCCUAGACUUGGGAAGAAAUAAAAUAUCAACGUUAUCAAAUGGAAUAUUUGAUGAAUUGACGAAGCUAAAGACACUUGGAUUAUAUGAAAACCCUCUGCGUUGCAAAUGUCCAUUAGUCGACAUUAUCCGCACUGCGAAAACAAGACGAUUGCAGUUGAUUGAUAACCCUUCCUGUAAAAAUCCUGUGACUCUAAGAAAAACAUUCCUAAAGGACCUGAAACUUCGAGACGUAGUUUGUGAUUCAGAUUCCAUCACUGGUACUACUGGCGUCGAAACAACAGUUCCCGGUACGUAUUUUACAUCUAUUUAAUCCAAGGUAGUGUAUUUGAUUUAUGGUGGGAGCAUUCCAUUUAGGACAGUUAGGUUUUGUUCUAACUGUUCCUUCAUCAACAUUCCUAUGUUAAAAGAGAAAAUCACAGGUCUCUCAAAUUAAACACCUCAAGAAUUAACGCCCCAUACUAUAUAGACGUUGGCAUGAUACAGAAAGCAAUGUUGUGACCUUGAUCGCCAUUCCUGCGACAAACGUUGAUGCACUUCCCAAACAACUGGUGAAGAAUCACUAUGAGUUAUAAUUAUAAAACUAUCAACAGGGGAUGCUUACUCCUCCUAUGUACCUGAAGCCACCUCUAGUGUGUUUAGGAGUCCGUGUUUGCCCUAUUCUUAAUUUUACAUUCUUUAUUUGAUUUUUGUAGAUUAGUCAUUGUUUGUUAUCUUCAAUUUUCAUGAAAUACAAGCGAAUCAAGUCAACAGCUGAUCUACAAGGGUUACUAAAAAAAAACACUUGUUUCUCCCUAUCACUCUGCGUUGUUGGUUAUCAAAUACUGAGUGUUAAACUCCCGAAAGUCUCUCUUACUCUGAAAUAAAUGCUAGAAAUGGUUUCGUCCUUCUCCCCUAGGAAAUAUAUAUCCACCUUCGUUUAUAAAUUGCAUUAUCUACUUAGAUUUCAUCCCAGCCUCCACUGAUGCAGAUACUGUCUUAACUGCAAUAACCGGAUUCGGCAAGCAUUCAACAUGAUAAAAAAAAAAUUGAACAUUGUAUAAAACACUGAUUUAUCAAGUAGUAAUUUACAGUAUACGUCAAAGACACUUGAUGCAUAAAUUCAUCAGCAAGGAAUGACAUAAUAUCUGUAGCCGCUAACAUCAUUGAAAACAUCGAUUUCAAAUCGCUUUAAAGCAUGAAGAAUCCACCAGGUAAACUCCGUUUGUAGAGAUUGGAUUAUUUUCUUUUAUCUAACCUGCCCUUGACAUCGGAUGUAAGUUUGUUAUAUUAUGUAGUAUUUACAAAUACAUAUAUUAUGAAAUGCCCUACAAAUGCAUAUACAUAUAUAUACUCUUACAUAUACAUUUCUAAUGUUAACAAUUGCCCAAAAUACGCCGCGAGAAGGAUAUAAUUUAAUGCGAUUUCGAAUUUGACUUUUGGACAUUACAGACAUCUAAAAUAUGUCUACAUAAUCAGAUUUGUCUUGUUUGAUGCUUCGCUAAUUAAGGUGUUAUCAGUAGAACGUGAAAACAGUCAUAUCAUUCUCAUACAGCUGACAAUGCGAGUCAACUGAAUAUUUAUGUGAUCAUGAUAAAGUGUAAAGUUGUGAUUUUGACUUGGGGUCAACUUGCACAACAAUUUACUAUUAGUUAUAGUUUCAAAGGUAGCAUAUCCUCAUGUGAUAAGGAAAAAUGAUAAUACCUUUAUAUAUUUCAAAUAAAUUUCCGUAACGUAACAUAUAUUGCAAAACAGUAAAACACUAUUUUUCAUUCAUGUAUUGAAAUACAUCAAACGAACACACUGUAUACAAUGAAAAGUGAUGAAUUAAAAAAGCUCACAAAUCAAUACAACCACGGAGGAUUCAUCGAUGCACUGCUACCUAGAGAUCGUGAGAAACGUGUAUCCCUGUCCUUAUCCCUGGUGGGCAUUUAUAUCCAUAUAUUCAACUCUGGUGUGUAUUUAUAUUCCAUUUGUCAAUCCUGGUGAGUACAACUAUUUCUUUCUCUAUAGAAUAAGCUACUAUAGAACUAAACGUCCAUAAACUACACCACUAUGUACAAGUUACACGUUUACCUUUUGCUUGGUAUCUACAAGAUUUAAUUUUACUCGGUAUGUGUAUGCCAUACAUUUACUUUGUAUAGAUCUACAUGGUUUAUGUUUACUUGGUAAGUAUAGGGUAUAAGUGUUCUUGGUAUGUAUACGUCAUGUGUUUACACCGUAUACACAAGUUACACGUUAUCGUUUUUCUUGGUAUCUACAAUGUUUAAUUUUACUCGGUAUGUAUAUACAUGUAUCAUACAUUUACUGUGUAUCUACAUGGUAUGUGUUUACUUGGUAAGUACAAGGUAUAAGUGUUCUUGGUAUGUAUAAGUUGGGGGGAUGAGGGAUGGAAUAAAGAAUUGCAUUGCUUGCAUGUUUAUUGUACUUAUUGCAAUGACGGCACUAAUCACAUACAUGGGAUAUCGUAAGUUUUCAAUAUUUAUUUUAUUAUUUAUUUCUAUUAUCGUAUUUGAACAUUUCAGGAGAUCAGAAAAGGAGAUAUGUAAACAACUGUUGGUUCAACAAUGGCGCGAUCUGCUGUGAUCUUUUGUUUUUGGAGCGGGUCAGAUACUGACGGACAGAUUUUCAGACAACUACAUAGUCCCUUGGGGAUCCGGGUUAGAAUAUGUCCUCAGUACCCCCUUGCUUGUCGUAAGAGACGACUAAAUCUGGCGGUUCUUCGGAUGAGACCGUAAAAAUCGAGGUCCCGUGUCACAGCAGCUGUAGCACGAUAAAGAUCCCUCCCUGCUCAAUGGUCAUAAGCGCCGAGGAUAGGCAUAAAUUUUGCAGCCCUUCACCGGCAGUGGGGACGUCUCCAUAUGAGUGAAAUAUUCUGGAGAGGGACGUUAAACAAUAUUCAACCAAUCAUAUAAUUUUUCUGUUGAAUUCAAUUUUGUCAUUUUCUGUAGAUACAAAUUUCUCACAAUGCCUCUUUGUCACUAUGGAGCUUUUACAUUUUACCGAAAUAUCGUUGAAAUUUUUAUUUCAGAUUAAAAUUCAGACACACAGAUGGGUUUUGAACAUUACAUUCUUCAUAGAAAUCAAGCCGCUGGCGUUGAUGACAUUUGUUGAAAAAAAUAAACAGAUGUUCUAUAUGCAAAAGUAUACCAUCGUAACCUGUUUGCAACAUAUGGAACCACUUCCUCUGACAGUCAAAUUCUGCUGGUUACACCGUUCCCGGGAAUAUUUCAAGAACGAUAUGUUGAGAAGUGUUUACAAAUGAUGAAUACUGGAUAGUACGAGGUAA